AUCCAUUUGUAUACACACGAACAUAUAUGUAUGCAUGUACACAUGGAAAAAUAAAUAAGAAUAGCUAGUAAUAGGAAAGUAGCAACUUGGAAUAGAAUCUGGCAUGCCUCAGGUUUUCAGGGGAGGUGAUACAUCAUUUCCUUGGCCUUCCUUUGGCUGCCUACAUGU
rnacentral:snoRNA from 1 species